UCGAACGAAGCACUCUUUUAGAUUUCCUUCGGGGAAGAAGAAAUUGUGACUGAGUGGCGGACGGGUGAGUAACGCGUGGGCAACCUGCCCUAUACAGGGGGAUAACAGCCGGAAACGGCUGCUAAAACCGCAUAAGCGCACAAGGGCCGCAUGGCCUGGUGUGAAAAACUCCGGUGGUAUGGGAUGGGCCCGCGUCUGAUUAGCUAGUUGGCGGGGGAGAGGCCCACCAAGGCGACGAUCUGUAGCCGACCUGAGAGGGUGGCCGGCCAACAUUGGGACUGAGACACGGCCCAAACUCCUACGGGAGACAGCAGUGGGGAAUAUUGCACAAGGGGGGAAACCCUGAUGCAGCGACGCCGCGUGAGCGAAGAAGUAUUUCGGUAUCUAAAGCUCUAUCAGCAGGGAAGAAAAAUGACAAACACAGAUUAUGAAGCACCGGCUAAAGGGGUACCAACAGCCGCGGUAAUACGUAUGGUGCAAGCGUUAUCCGGAUUUACUGGGUGUAAAGGGAGCGCAGGCGGUGCGGCAAGUCUGAUGUGAAAGCCCGGGGCUCAACUCCGGGACUGCAUUGGAAACUACCGAACUAGAGUGUCGGAGAGGUAAGUGGAAUUCCUAGUGUAGCGGUGAAAUGCGU
rnacentral:rRNA from 1 species